AAUAAAAAAAAAAAAGCAGCAGCAGCUAAAUUGUCAAUGACUUUAUUACUCAGUACAUCUCUUGCAAUUUCAUUCUUAUACAAGCAGUCAUCCACAACAAAAUGAUCCUUGUUCUGAUGGACACUUGCAUCAUACUUAAAACUAGUUCGAUUGCAGAAAUAUUUUGUCCAUUUGACAUAAAUUAUGCACAUUUGUUGAUUCAGAAGAACCAAACCAAUAUUAGAAUAAUAGUACGAGCCAUGAAAUAAAUAAAACAAUAAAAUAAGGCCUCAAGAUCUAUAACCCAACUUAAUCAAAGAUCUGAAUAUAUUCCAAUCUGCAACAAGCAGGGCUCACAAUUGUUGGAUACUAAGUUGUGGUACUGUAAACCACUACAAUAUAUGCUUGUGGCUACCAGCACACUUGCUAGGGGUUGAAUAGUCCGUGAGAAAAAAUAUCCUCAGGUUUCAAAAUCCCAAUUAGAUCAAAUUCUCAAUCUAAAAGUACAGUCAGGACAUGGUUGAGAGCCUUAGGCACGUAGUAAAAGCGAGUUGCCUAGAUCUCAUAUCCAAUCAAAAACACUCAAAAUAUAAACCCAUCAAAAUGCACUCAAGGGCUGAACUACUCAACCAUAGACCCCAAAAUAAUAAUUUAAAUAGGAUGAAAAAAGAAACGGUCAUGUUUAGGAUAAAAUUUUCAACAAAAUGUUAAAGAAAUAAGGAAAUGGAACCAGUAAGCAUUCCCAAUUUAAAAACUAAAAGAUAACCUGAAAAUCAGAAUUUCAAAAAAUAACAAGCAAGAAAUUCUGUCCCCUUUCAUUUCCAAGACAACAUUUAUUUAUUUGUUUUCAACAAGUUUCAAAGAAAAGUGACGAAAAUUAAUAUUACCAUUUUCAUGGGUUCAUACUCGCAUUAGCACUGCCCAGCCUUUGCUACAUUUUUUGUCAGUGCACAUAUUUCUAUGAACAUAUAUGCCCAUGUGUGUUUUUUCACUAAUUCCCAAUCCCAAUAGACAUGCAAAAGAUCUUCACUAUGCUCAUCUAGAAAUAAAUUUAUCAGCAUCUUCCAAAAUGCAUAUGGACAGUCUUUAAGUAAUCUGAAGAAAAUAAAGUUGGCAGUUUUCUAACAGAAAAGCACACUCUAUCAGUCUCCAGUAAUUGCCCUAUAAUUACUGAAAAACACAAAAUUCAAUUUCGUCCUAAAGAAAGUGCCCAUUCAGAGAUUUGUGUAAUUCUUGUAACUG
rnacentral:misc_RNA from 1 species